UACAGAGGUCUCAAGCGUUGUUCGGAUUCAUUGGGCGUAAAGGGUGUGUAGGUGGCGCGCUAAGUCGGGUGUGAAAUUUCGGAGCUUAACUCCGAAACUGCAUUCGAUACUGGCGUGCUUGAGGACUGGAGAGGAGACUGGAAUUCAUGGUGUAGCAGUGAAAUGCGUAGAGAUCGUAAGGAAGACCAGUGGCGACGGCGGGUCUCUGGACAGUUCCUGACACUGAGGCACGAAGGCCAGGGGAGCAAACGGG
rnacentral:rRNA from 1 species